rnacentral:rRNA from 1 species
UACGUAGGGCGCAAGCGUUAUCCGGAAUUAUUGGGCGUAAAGAGCUCGUAGGCGGUUUGUCGCGUCUGCCGUGAAAGUCCGGGGCUCAACUCCGGAUCUGCGGUGGGUACGGGCAGACUAGAGUGAUGUAGGGGAGAUCGGAAUUCCUGGUGUAGCGGUGAAAUGCGCAGAUAUCAGGAGGAACACCGGUGGCGAAGGCGGGUCUCUGGGCAGUAACUGACGCUGAGGAGCGAAAGCGUGGGGAGCGAACAGG